AACGAACGCUAGCGGCAGGCUUAAUACAUGCAAGUCGAGGGGCAGCAUGGUGUAGCAAUACACUGAUGGCGACCGGCAAACGGGUGCGGAACACGUACGCAAUCUACCCAAAACUGAUGAAUAGCCCUCCGAAAGGAGGAUUAAUACAUCGUAAUAUAAUGGAGUGGCAUCACUUUAUUAUUAAAGCUCCGGCGGUUUUGGAUGAGCGUGCGCCUGAUUAGGUAGUUGGCGGGGUAACGGCCCACCAAGCCUGCGAUCAGUAACUGGUGUGGGAGCACGACCAGUCAAACGGGCACUGAGACACGGGCCCGACUCCUACGGGAGGCAGCAGUAAGGAAUAUUGGUCAAUGGACGCAAGUCUGAACCAGCCAUGCCGCGUGAAGGAUGAAGGUCCUCUGGAUUGUAAACUUCUUUUAUAUGGGAAGAAAUUCCCGCAUACUUGCGGGAUUGACGGUACCAUAGGAAUAAGCACCGGCUAACUCCGUGCCAGCCGCCGCCGUAA
rnacentral:rRNA from 1 species